rnacentral:lncRNA from 1 species
GAUGUGACUCUGUACCUAUGUAUCUUGUCAUACUUUGAAUGACAAAAUUAUUUUAUUUAUUAAUAUUACUUUUACUGUUAUGUCUGUUUUAUGUGAUAUACAUUUGACGUGACUCUGUACUUAUGUAUCUCAUCAUACUUUGAACCACACUAUUAUUUUAUUUAUUAUUAUUACUUUUACUGUUAAAUCUGUUUUUGUUAUAUCUAUUUUACGUGACUGAAUUUAUG